rnacentral:rRNA from 1 species
GAUGAACGCUGGCGGCGUGCCUAAUACAUGCAAGUCGAGCGAACGGACGAGAAGCUUGCUUCUCUGAUGUUAGCGGCGGACGGGUGAGUAACACGUGGAUAACCUACCUAUAAGACUGGGAUAACUUCGGGAAACCGGAGCUAAUACCGGAUGAUAUUUUGACCCGCAUGGUUCACAAGUGAAAGACGGUCUUGCUGUCACUUAUAGAUGGAUCCGCGCUGCAUUAGCUAGUUGGUAAGGUAACGGCUUACCAAGGCAACGAUGCAUAGCCGACCUGAGAGGGUGAACGACUAGCCUGGAACUGAGACACGGCCCAGACUCCGACGGUAGGCAGCAGUAGGGAAUCCUCCGCAAUGGGCGAGUGCCGGACGUAGCGACGCCGCGUGAGUGAUGAAGGUCUUCGGAUCGUAAAACGCUGUUAUUAGUGAAGAACAUAUGUGUAAGUAACUGUGCACAUCUUGACGGUACCUAAUCAGAAAGCCACGGCUAACUACGUG